CCCUCCUCCGUCUUCGCCAAAGCAUCAUGCUAAGUGCUCCGAGAUAUACACAAUCCCUCAUGUACCGAAUAUUUCUCUGACCUUGAUCCUCGAUUUGUUCCUCCAAUCCAUGCCUGAUUUUAGCUGCUUCCUUGGAUUCUAGGGUGUCAUCCAAUUUGAUCCUCUCUCUUGAUUCAAUAUCAAGUUGGACCCGUUUCUUGGAUUUCCUCGCGUCAUUGGUCGGUUGACGUCGACCUCUCCGACGAAGAGAGCGAGCGCCGCCUUCAUAACAGGUUAUUGUGUAGGAUCAGGCAAAGGGGGUUCCUUGAAUUGGAUUUGGUAGUGGGGACAUGGGUAGGGGAGCACAUUCGUGCCUUGGAUCAGCUCCAUAUCAGAGCCCUCAUGGAUGUUCUUGACCUGGAAAGCCCAGAUCUGUGGAAGUGGCUUACUGCUAAGAGCAAGCACCAGAAGCAGUCAAGAACAAUCCUGUAUAGCAUUUCAAACAUAAAAAAAUCUGUGUUUCCUUUUAGUAUUAUGUUUAUUUUCAUGUUUUAUAUUUUUCUAACUGUGUUCUGUGGGUAUUCUGUGCUAUCCACUCCAAGAUUAUGUCAAAUCUACACGGCCAUGCUGCACCAGAGACCCGAGCAAAUCCUAGUCCCGCAGAUUAAUCUCUUGAGCUCGAUUAAUGUACCAUUUGUUCUUUCAAUAUAUUCUUUUCUACAGCUUCUCUGUGAUCGAUAAUUUAUCAAAAUGCUCGCUAAAAUUUCUUCAUCGUCAGAUUGUUUCUUUCUUUUCUUUUAUAUUUUCAUCGGAAGUGUGAUUUUUAU